rnacentral:rRNA from 1 species
GCUAAUACCGCAUAAGCCCACGGCUCGGCAUCGAGCAGAGGGAAAAGGAGCAAUCCGCUUUGAGAUGGCCUCGCGUCCGAUUAGCUAGUUGGUGAGGUAAUGGCCCACCAAGGCGACGAUCGGUAGCCGGACUGAGAGGUUGAACGGCCACAUUGGGACUGAGACACGGCCCAGACUCCUACGGGAGGCAGCAGUGGGGAAUAUUGCACAAUGGGGGAAACCCUGAUGCAGCGACGCCGCGUGGAGGAAGAAGGUCUUCGGAUUGUAAACUCCUGUUGUUGGGGAAGAUAAUGACGGUACCCAACAAGGAAGUGACGGCUAACUACGUGCCAGCAGCCGCGGUAAAACGUAGGUCACAAGCGUUGUCCGGAAUUACUGGGUGUAAAGGGAGCGCAGGCGGGAAGACAAGUUGGAAGUGAAAUCUAUGGGCUCAACCCAUAAACUGCUUUCAAAACUGUUUUUCUUGAGUAGUGCAGAGGUAGGCGGAAUUCCCGGUGUAGCGGUGGAAUGCGUAGAUAUCGGGAGGAACACCAGUGGCGAAGGCGGCCUACUGGGCACCAACUGUCGCUGAGGCUCGAAAGUGUGGGUAGCAAACAGGAUUAGAUACCCUGGUAGUCCACACCGUAAACGAUGAUUACUAGGUGUUGGAGGAUUGACCCCUUCAGUGCCGCAGUUAACACAAUAAGUAAUCCACCUGGGGAGUACGACCGCAAGGUUGAAACUCAAAGGAAUUGACGGGGGCCCGCACAAGCAGUGGAGUAUGUGGUUUAAUUCGACGCAACGCGAAGAACCUUACCAAGUCUUGACAUCCUGCGACGAUGCUGGAAACAGUAUUUUCCUUCGGGACGCAGAGACAGGUGGUGCAUGGUUGUCGUCAGCUCGUGUCGUGAGAUGUUGGGUUAAGUCCCGCAACGAGCGCAACCCUUACUGUCAGUUACUACGCAAGAGGACUCUGGCAGGACUGCCGUUGACAAAACGGAGGAAGGUGGGGAUGACGUCAAAUCAUCAUGCCCUUUAUGACUUGGGCUACACACGUACUACAAUGGCGUUAAACAAAGAGAAGCAAGACCGCGAGGUGGAGCAAAACUCAGAAACAACGUCCCAGUUCGGACUGCAGGCUGCAACUCGCCUGCACGAAGUCGGAAUUGCUAGUAAUCGUGGAUCAGCAUGCCACGGUGAAUACGUUCCCGGGCCUUGUACACACCGCCCGUCA